rnacentral:rRNA from 1 species
AUUGAACGCUGGCGGCAUGCUUUACACAUGCAAGUCGAACGGUAACAGGUUAAGCUGACGAGUGGCGAACGGGUGAGUAAUGCAUCGGAACGUGCCCGGUCGUGGGGGAUAACGCAGCGAAAGCUGCGCUAAUACCGCAUACGAUCUGAGGAUGAAAGCGGGGGACCGUAAGGCCUCGCGCGAUCGGAGCGGCCGAUGUCAGAUUAGGUAGUUGGUGGGGUAAAGGCUCACCAAGCCACCGAUCUGUAGCUGGGCUGAGAGGACGAACAGCCACACUGGGACUGAGACACGGACCAGAAUCCUACGGGAGGCGGCAGUGGGGAAUUUUGGACAAUGGGCGAAAGCCUGAUCCAGCAAUGCCGCGUGCAUGAAGAAGGCCUUCGGGUUGUAAACUGCUUUUGUACGGAGCGAAAAGGUCUCCUCUAAUACAGGGGGGUCAUGACGGUACCGUAAGAAUAAGCACCGGCUAACUACGUGCCAGCAGCCGCAGUAAGAC